GAUGAACGCUGGCGGCGUGCCUAAUACAUGCAAGUCGAGCGAACGGACGAGAAGCUUGCUUCUCUGAUGUUAGCGGCGGACGGGUGAGUAACACGUGGAUAACCUACCUAUAAGACUGGGAUAACUUCGGGAAACCGUAGCUAAUACCGGAUAAUAUUUUGAACCGCAUGGUUCAAAAGUGAAAGACGGUCUUGCUGUCACUUAUAGAUGGAUCCGCGCUGCAUUAGCUAGUUGGUAAGGUAACGGCUUACCAAGGCAACGAUGCAUAGCCGACCUGAGAGGGUGAUCGGCCACACUGGAACUGAGACACGGUCCAGACUCCUACGGGAGGCAGCAGUAGGGAAUCUUCCGCAAUGGGCGAAAGCCUGACGGAGCAACGCCGCGUGGGUGAUGAAGGUCUUCGGAUCGGAAAACUCUGUUAUUAGGGAAGAACAUAUGUGUAAGUAACUGUGCACAUCUUGACGGUACCGAAUCAGAAAGCCACGGCUAACUACGUG
rnacentral:rRNA from 1 species